UACGUAGGGGGCAAGCGUUGUCCGGAUUUAUUGGGCGUAAAGAGCGUGUAGGCGGCUUUGCAAGUCCGUUGUGAAAACUCGAGGCUCAACCUCGAGACGCCGGUGGAAACUGCAAAGCUAGAGUCCGGAAGAGGAGAGUGGAAUUCCUGGUGUAGCGGUGAAAUGCGCAGAUAUCAGGAAGAACACCCGUGGCGAAAGCGGCUCUCUGGAACGGUACUGACGCUGAGACGCGAAAGCGUGGGGAGCGAACAGG
rnacentral:rRNA from 1 species